UACGGAGGGUGCAAGCGUUGCUCGGAAUUAUUGGGCGUAAAGGGGAGGUAGGUGGUCUCAUUUGUCUGGGGUGAAAUCCUUGGGCUUAACUCAAGAAGUGCCCCAGAAACGGUGAGACUAGAGUACUGGAGAGGGUCGUGGAAUUCCCGGUGUAGCGGUGAAAUGCGUAGAGAUCGGGAGGAACACCAGAGGCGAAGGCGGCGACCUGGACAGUAACUGACACUCAACUCCGAAAGCGUGGGGAGCAAACAGG
rnacentral:rRNA from 1 species